CGAGGUCAACCUUUGGAAAAUUGGGGGUUUUACGGCAAGAGUCCCUCCGGAUCCCAGUGCGAGACGUAAAGUUACUACGCAAAGGAGGCUCCGGGAGGGUCCGCCACUACCUUUGAGGGCCUACGUCAGCCGUAGGGCCCCAACACCAAGCAGAGCUUGAGGGUUGAAAUGACGCUCGAACAGGCAUGCCCGCCAGAAUGCUGGCGGGCGCAAUGUGCGUUCAAAGAUUCGAUGAUUCACUGAAUUCUGCAAUUCACAUUACUUAUCGCAUUUCGCUGCGUUCUUCAUCGAUGCCAGAACCAAGAGAUCCGUUGUUAAAAGUUUUGAUUAUUUGCUUGUACCACUCAGAAGAAACGUCGUUAAAUCAGAGUUUGGUUAUCCUCCGGCGGGCGCCGACCCGCCCGGGGGCGGGAGGCCGGGAGGGUCACGGAGACCCUGCCCGCCGAAGCAACAGUUAUAGGUAUGUUCACAAAGGGUUGUAGAGCGUA
rnacentral:misc_RNA from 5 species